UCAGAUGGCCGGGUGAUCGCCGCUCGCAAGGGUGGAGGAAAGUCCGGGCUCCACGGAAACACGGUGCCGGUUAACGGCCGGCGGGGGCGACCCCAGGGAAAGUGCCACAGAGAACAGACCGCCUGUGCCUGGCGCAGGUAAGGGUGAAACGGUGCGGAAAGAGCGCACCGCGCGACCGGUAACGGAAGCGGCACGGCAAACCCCACCGGGAGCAAGACCAAAUAGGGGCGGCGUCGCCGGCUUGCCGGCGAAACCCGGUUCCGGGCUGCCGCCCGGGGUGGUUGCACGAGGCGUCCGGCNNNNNNNNNNUACAGACCCCGGCUUACAGGCCAUCUGACAUU
rnacentral:RNase_P_RNA from 1 species